GGGGGCAUAGCUCAGUUGGUAGAGCGCGCGCUUAGCAUGCGCGAGGUCCCGAGUUUGAUUCUUGAUGCCUCCA
rnacentral:tRNA from 1 species